UAAUAUUAAAUCUAUACUCAAACUAAAAAUUAAUUUCAUCAAUAUUUUUAACAAUAUAAUUUAAUUAAUAUUUAAAGUAAUUAAAAGUUAAAAUUGAAUUUAAUUAAUUCAGAAAACCGGUCAAAGUAAGUCCAAACGGGCAAAAAAUUGACUUCACCCGGUCAAAACCGGUUUGUAACCAUUCCCAACGGGUGGUGACUGGUCUAUAAAAGGCUUUUCUUCUCUCUUAAAUCCAACCCUAGCCGUCCGCCACCCAUUCCACUCCUCUCUUCUUCUUCUCUCGGUUUUGUUUCCUCUUUCCUUGACCUUCUUCUUCCUCUCGCUUAUUCUUCCUCUCUCCCUCACCUUUCUCUUCUUCCUCUCACUUCUCGGUUCUUCUUUCUCUGUCAAGCCUCCAUCUCUGACCCCAACCGCCACAACCCCCCCCCCCCAAACGCCACUAUUCGCCCCCAACCUACCACGCUUCGGCCAUGAUUCGGCCCCAACCGCCCCUGUUGCAUACUCGUAAGGUCUUCAAUCUCGCAAAGGAGCUUUCUUUCCACACAUGAAAGAUCAGAGCAAAGCGACCGGAUCAAAGCUUCUUGAAGCAAAACCAAGCUUGUAAUUUUUUUCCUUUAUUUUUCUUGUAAAAACGAAGCUUAUGUUUAUUUUUCAUGUAAAAAAAUUCAUAUUAUGAAAUUUUAUGUUGUAGAAAUUUUAUAUUUUGUUCAUCUUGUUGAUGAUCUUGCUCCAUCUUCUGUUA